CAACUACUCCCUCUGUCCCAAAUUUCUUGUCUUAGAUUCGUCUAGAUACAGAUGUAUCUAAUACUAAAAUGACUUGAUACAUCCGUAUCUAGAGAAAUCUAAGACAAGAAUUUUGGGACGGAGGGAGUACUUU
rfam:Triticum aestivum genome assembly, contig: Triticum_aestivum_CS42_TGACv1_scaffold_623916_7DS